rnacentral:sRNA from 16 species
CCCAGAGGUAUUGAUAGGUGAGUUUCUUAGGUACGCUCUUCGUACUGAACGUCUUACACCGACCUGCGCGGAUGCGCAGGUUUUUUUU